CCUACGGGAGGCAGCAGUAGGGACUUUUCGUCAAUGGGCGCAAGCCUGAACGAGCGAUGCCGCGUGAGUGAAGAAGGCCUUCGGGUCGUAAAGCUCUGUUGCGGGGGAAAAAAGGCAGCAUCAGGAAAUGGGUGCUGACUGAUGGUGCCCCGCCAGAAAGUCACGGCUAACUACGUGCCAGCAGCCGCGGUAAUACGUAGGUGGCGAGCGUUAUCCGGAAGGAUUGGGGGUAAAGGGUGCGCAGGCGGUCCUGCAAGUCUGGAGUGAAACGCAUGGGCUCAACUCAUGCAUGGCUUUGGAAACUGGAGGACUGGAGAACAGGAGAGGGCGGUGGAACUCCGUGUGUAGCGGUAAAAUGCGUAGAUAUAUGGAAGAACACCAGUGGCGAAGGCGGCCGCCUGGCCUGUUGCUGACGCUGAGGCACGAAAGCGUGGGGAGCAAAUAGGAUUAGAUACCCGUGUAGUC
rnacentral:rRNA from 1 species